GCACCUAUGCCCGUGGAUUCCUUGACAAAUUCCUCUGGAAAAUCUUCAGUUCCUCUUCCUGUUGGCAGCCCUAACAUGAGGUUUACCCCAGCAGAACCCAACUAUAAUCAUAUUGCUUCUGCUGUUUCUUUGUCAAGAAAUUUUAAGGGAAUGAAAAACCUGCAAUGGGAAGAUCGGUAUCAUCAGUUGCAAAUUCUACUGAAGAAAUUAGAUGAAUCAGAUCAGGAGGAUUAUGUGCAGAUGCUUCGUUCGCUUUCCUCAGUUGAGCUUAGCAGGCAUGCGGUUGAAUUGGAGAAGAGGUCCAUUCAACUUUCAUUGGAAGAAGCAAAAGAGGUGCAACGUGUUGGGGUUCUAAAUGUACUGGGGAAGUCCUUGAAGAACGUUAAAGCAUCUGCAGCUUGUCAAAGCCAACUAUAGAAGUUAAGAGUAAUGUUACUGUCAUAAGUUCCUUUGGCUGAUAACGGAAAUAUGCCUCAAGGCACUUGUAUCUUUCUUCCUUUAACCAUAACUGCAGUAUUGGCUUCAGUUUAAAUGCGCACAAGUUGUUGACAGUAUUGAUUUCCAGAUAUAUUGUAAUGAAGUGCUAUAAAUAGUAGUUCUCAUUUCUUUCUUCCUAUUUUGGUUUCUAGCAGGUUUCACUUGUAAUUUGUAGUAAUUUUUAACAUUGUAAUCAUUUUGAAAACAAUGUUUUUUUUUCAAGGGGUUGAUGGAAACC
rnacentral:misc_RNA from 1 species